ensembl:lncRNA
CUUUGCAUUCGAGAGUAUUUCAAUUGAGUUGAAGUGUAGCAAAGCCCCUGUGUGUUUACAAUGUUACCGAAUGUUCAAAUGGGAGUCAAAUCUAUUAUAGUUACAUUUUGGUGACAUUAUAGUGGUGGUUGCUAGGUUAUUGCCAGGGUAAUUAAGACAGUUGCUAGGGUAUAUUAGGUGGUUGCUAUGCCACAUAAAGCGACAAGGUAAAGGAUCAUGGGAAUCUAGGUAACUCAAAAGUAUUGAGUUUCUCAAUA